AUGUCAUCGGAUAGUGAUAGUGAGGAUGACAAUAGUUAUGAAAUAAUGAGGAAUUUGGUUAUGCAUCAACAACAUAAUAUGAACAUGCUUUGUUCGCGUGCAGCAGUCAUAUUUGGCAAGUAUUGUGAAAGUUGGGUGAUGAAAGCCGAGCCUCGGAAAUCUAUUUUGUGUGGAUUUGGAUGGCUUCAAGAGACUAUUGCCACACCGGAAGAGACCUACACAAUGUUGAGAAUGACGGCAAGUGUGUUCUUUGAUCUUCAUGACUUGUUGGUACGUGACUAUGGUCUCAAAGAAACAAUCUGUGUUAGCACUUAUGAGUCUCUUGCUAUGUUCUUGUGGACAUUAGGAGGUUGUGAAUCAAAUAGAAGAACUCGAAAUCGCUUCAAACAUUCAGCGGAUACAAUCCAUCGUAAAUUCCAUGAGGUUCUACAGUGUGUAGUGAGCAUGGCAUCUCACUAUACCUUAAGUCACAAGACCCAAACUUCCACAUUGUGCAUGAUCUAA
rnacentral:rRNA from 1 species